rnacentral:rRNA from 1 species
UGGGGAAUCUUGCGCAAUGGGCGAAAGCCUGACGCAGCCAUGCCGCGUGAAUGAUGAAGGUCUUAGGAUUGUAAAAUUCUUUCAGCGGGGACGAUAAUGACGGUACCCGCAGAAGAAGCCCCGGCUAACUUCGUGCCAGCAGCCGCGGUAAUACGAAGGGGGCUAGCGUUGCUCGGAUUUACUGGGCGUAAAGGGCGCGUAGGCGGAUUGACAAGUUGGGGGUGAAAGCCCGGGGCUCAACCUCGGAAUUGCCUUCAAAACUGUCAGUCUUGAGUUCGGGAGAGGUGAGUGGAACUCCGAGUGUAGAGGUGAAAUUCGUAGAUAUUCGGAAGAACACCAGUGGCGAAGGCGACUCACUGGCCCGAUACUGACGCUGAGGCGCGAAAGCGUGGGGAGCAAACAGGAUUAGAUACCCUGGUAGUCCACGCUGUAAACGAUGAGUGCUAGUUGUCGGCAGGCAUGCCUGUCGGUGACGCAGCUAACGCAUUAAGCACUCCGCCUGGGGGAGUACGGUCGCAAGAUUAAAA